rnacentral:lncRNA from 1 species
UUUAGAAAAGCAUCUGGAUGCCCACGCCACCACCCUCCCAGCCACCUCUGAAGUUGCCAGGCUUCCCAACAUUCUUGUCUGUGAUAUUAAAGCCAUGACAGCAAACAGCCCCUUUCUCCUAAGGUUCCUGAUUUGAAGUGGCAAAACAAGGCAGUGGCAUAGUCUCCUGUCCUAUGUCCUUGGCAUGCAGGUGCUUCUAAGAAGCCUGGGCGAGCAUCCUUGCUAUGAGACCAUGAAACCACAUGGCUCUGUCCCAGCAUCCAAGCCUCCAGUCAGACACAGCUGGAGCAGCACACAAGCAAGACCAGAGACCAGCCGCUCGGCCAGCCCCCAGAAGUUUGGCUUCAGGUCACAUGUUGCUCUGGAGAACCGAGAAGGGUGAGCAGACACCAAUCAUGACCCCAAACAGCAAGAGGACAGAAGGGAUCCCCCCUACUCCACAGCUUGACGGCAGAGCAGUGACCAGAAUAUAUGCUCAGGAAGGCCAAAGAGAUGAAGCCGCAGCUGCCUCUUUUUUUUUUUUGAGACAGUCUCAUUCUGUUGCCCGGGCUGGAGUGCAGUGGUGCGAUCUCGGCUCACUGUAACCUCCACCUCCCAGGUUCAAGCAAUUCUCGUACCUCAGCCUCCCAGGUAGCUGGAACUAUACAGGUGUACCAUCACACCCGGCUAAUUAUUUUUUGUCUUUUUUUGUAGAGAUGGGGUUUCGCCAUGUUGGUCAGGCUGGUCUCGAACUCCUGGCCUCAGGUGAUCCACGCACCUCCGCCUCCCAAAGUCCUGGGAUUAGAGGCGUGAGCCACCGUGCCCAGCCAGGCUUGCUUCUCUGAGCCAUACCCUUCUGUUGGAACAAGCAUCCUUUCUAUUAAAAGCAAUAAAUCUCCUCUUA